GGGGUCGUAGCUCAGUUGGUAGAGCACCACAGUGGCACUGUGGGGGUCAUGAGUUCGAAUCUCUUCGGCUCCACCA
rnacentral:tRNA from 1 species